GACGUAGGGCGCGAGCGUUGUCCGGAUUUAUUGGGCGUAAAGAGCUCGUAGGCGGCUCAUUGCGUCAACCGUGAAAACCAGCAGCUCAACUGUUGGCUUGCGGUUGAUACGGGUGGGCUGGAGUUCGGUAGGGGAGACUGGAAUUCCUGGUGUAGCGGUGAAAUGCGCAGAUAUCGGGAGGAACACCGGUGGCGAAGGCGGGUCUCUGGGCAAUUCCUGACGCUGAGGCGCGAAAGCGUGGGGAGCAAACGGG
rnacentral:rRNA from 1 species